rnacentral:rRNA from 1 species
AGUGAACGCUGGCGGUAGGCCUAACACAUGCAAGUCGAACGGCAGCACAGGAGAGCUUGCUCUCUGGGUGGCGAGUGGCGGACGGGUGAGGAAUACAUCGGAAUCUACUUUUUCGUGGGGGAUAUCGUAGGGAAACUUACGCUAAUACCGCAUACGACCUACGGGUGAAAGCAGGGGACCUUCGGGCCUUGCGCGAUUGAAUGAGCCGAUGUCGGAUUAGCUAGGUGGCGGGGUAAAGGCCCACAAAGGCGACGAUCCGUAGCUGGUCUGAGAGGAUGACCCGCCACACUGGAACUGAGACACGGUCCAGACUCCUACGGGAGGCAGCAGUGGGGAAUAUUGGACAAUGGGCGCAAGCCUGAUCCAGCCAUACCGCGUGGGUGAAGAAGGCCUUCGGGUUGUAAAGCACUUUUGUUGGGAAAGAAAUCCAGCUGGCUAAUACCCGGUUGGGAUGACGGUACCCAAAGAAUAAGCACCGGCUAACUUCGUGCCAGCCGCCGCCGUAA